GGGUGCUCGACGGCCGGGGCACUUCAUGCUACAGUCGGGAGAAACAUGCCCGGGCUGCUCUGUUCUGUGUUGUUUUUUUUGACCCUGUUCUACCUUCCGUAGAAGGAACCACUGA
rnacentral:lncRNA from 12 species